rnacentral:rRNA from 1 species
GACGAACGCUGGCGGCGUGCUUAACACAUGCAAGUCGAACGAAGUGGCGCACGGGUGAGUAACGCGUAAUCAACCUGCCCUUCAUAGGGGGACAACAGUUGGAAACGACUGCUAAUACCGCAUACUGCAGUAGGGGAUUGCGUCUGAUUAGCUAGUGGGAGGGGUAACGGCCCACCAAGGCGAUGAUCAGUAGCCGGUCUGAGAGGGUGAACGGCCACAGUGGGAAUGAGACACGGCCCAGACGUCUACGGGGGGCAGCAGUGGGGAAUCUUCCGCAAUGGACGAAAGUCGGACGGAGCAACGCCGCGUGAGUGAUGACGGCCUUCGGGUUGUAAAGCUCUGUUAAUCGGGACGCGGUACCGGAAUAGAAGGCCACGGCUAACUACGUGCCAGCAGCCGCGGUAAUUC